UUAGGGGAGGAGGUGUGUUACGGGCUGAGAGGGGAUUGCGGGGUUCUGAGAGCCAAAGGUCGGGUACAGGCAUGUGUGGGACAUGGCUGGGGAGGAUGAAGCUGCCAGUGGAGACCUCCUUGCCCCACUCACAGUGAGCCCUGCUCACCCCCACGUGAUGGUGGGGGUGAGAGAGACUUGUCAGAAAGGAAGGGAACUGGCCCCAUCCAGCUCUACAGUAUGGCUGGACCCGUUAUGUCCUCAGAGAGGGGGCUGGAGGGAGGAGGCUGUGGGCCCCAAGGGAGAAGAGACGUCUCAUAGUCCAGACCUGCGUGGACUCACAGAACACAGGCGGAGUUCCAGCCAGAGUUCAUGGGCCUGUUGUUCCUUGUGCUGAAUAUGUAUCACAUGUUGCAUGUCCUGAUCGGCUCUGUCCAUGGCUAUGUCCACACAUGACAUCUGUCCUGUGUACCAGAUUGCACCUUCUGGACAUUUCUCAUGGCUGUGUACAUGUCUGUUGAACCUGGCUAGGUUAACUGAAUUUGCCACACGUGUAUCUGCGCGUGUUUUGCACGUGGCUCCAGAGGGUGAGCUGCAGUUGUCCUGACAUGCCACAUGCCACAUGCUUGCCAGCAGGUCAAUGUCAACGGCGCCCCCUGGAGCCAGAGACAGAAAGAAGUAUGGCUUCAGAGAGAAGUGAUUGCACUUGAUGACAAAACUGAGGUUUAGAAAGAAGUCACCUGCUGAGGUCUCAGCCAAGCAUUGAGCUGGGAUUCAAACUUCAUGAGGAUAAGAAGGUGAGGUGAAGAAGAGGGGUGGAGAGGCCAGGGAGCCUCAGGUCCAAGGCACAGGAGGAGCAGGGAGCCAGGACACAGGAAUCCACUGAGUCUGUCCAUACCACCUGAGCCCCUUUUCUAGAAUGCACCCCACUCUUAGGCCAAUGCUGGACACUAUUCCUGCUCCUAGGCCUCAAGAGUUGGGGGCUGGCUCUGGACUGGAAUUGGGAGUGGAGAGUGGAGAUGAAUCAUCCUAUUAUGAGCGUCCCCAGACUGGGGGGCGGGCAAGCAUCUCCUCCUACUGUGCCAACAGUCACCCCCUGUCUCCAGACAAGAUGGCAGAGAGCCCAUGAACACAUACUACCCCCUUGGGCACUUCCAGCCACAUGUCCAGCUCUGAGAAAAUCUACCUUUAGACCCAUAUCCUGGGGACUUUGGAUUCACCUUCUGGUGUCUCUGAGCUGCGCUUGGCACCCUUUGAGGACAGCAGAGAGUUGCAGAAGAGGCAGAGAGAUGCGGCAGAGGCUUAGACUCCUUGCUGAGGAAGGGUCCAGAGUUACAGGGGCCAGGCCAACAGGUCAGAGGUUUCUUGCCGAUCAGAAUCUCAGCUCCAAGUCUGGCUUGGCCACUGAACAGUCAGGUGACCUAGCCAGCUCUCUUCUCUCAGCCCUCAAGUCUUAGUUUCUUCAUCAGUCACCUGGAAGUUUCAUAUGGAGUCGUCCCACCCCCCAACCCAGGGCCUCUGUAAGAAUCAAGCAAGAUUGUGGGUGUUUCAGGCUUUAAAAACUUUAUCACACAGUCAACAUAGAAAGCAAGACUCAUUCUAGAAGCUGCCUCCUUAAUCAGAGCCACAUUUCCUCAUAUGUGAAUAUCCACGUAUAUCCACAUGAGUUCUUGGCUCUGUGUUUGCAUGUAUCCAUGGAGGUCUGUGUGUACAGGGGGACAACCAUGCAUGUGUGUACCCAUCAGUGCCUAUGUGUGCAUUUGUGUGUCCAAGGGGCUCUGUGUGCAUAUCUGUGUGUGUCCCUGUCUGGGCCUGGCUGUGGGUCUGGGUCCAGAGUUUACAAAAGCCAGAGAUAGAGGAUGGGGAUCUGUUGAGGAGUCUGGGGACUAGCUGGCCGGACAGUUAGCCCUGCCCCAGGCCAGCCUAGAGGGAGAGGAGUUAGUGACAUGGAGCUGACACAGACCAGGUUAUCACUACAAACAGGCCUAAGGUGUCUGGAGAGCUCUGGUUCACACCUCAGGAUCAGAUCCCUGGAGCCCCUGGCCUUUAUGUUUUCCUCUCUCUCUCUUCACUAGCAGGAAAGCUUCUGGAACCAGGAUGGUUGCCUCAGAAUGAGGGGUCAGAACCAGAGAUUGAGGAAGAAGAAAAACUCAUGGCCUUCCUGGGGGGCCUGAAUUAGGGCCUGGCGUUUGCCUGGCCGCUGCAGCCAGGAAAGGAGCAUAGAGCAUUUGGGGGACUGAGGCAACCAGAGAGCUUCCUGGAGGAGGAAACAUUUGGCUGGGGAUUUUGUAGAGGGUCUUCCGGGUGAAAGCCUGCCAGGCCAGGCCAAGGUAAGUAUGGCUGUUUGCCUGAUACAAGAUGAGAGCACCUGUAGUGAAGCCAGGGCAGGACACUGGUAGCACAGAAGGGCCUUGGGUUCUAUACUAAGGGCCUGAACCUUAUCAAGGGGCCGGAGACAUUCAAGCUGUGCUUCUUUAAUCCCCAGGGCUCUGAGGAAGCUCUCACAGGGACUGUGGCAGCUGGAAGCGGGGAGAGGGAAGGCAAGGAGGCAGAGCCCUGGUCCCACCUCCUGUUUCAACCACGGUAUUUUAACCAUGUUACAUCAGGGUUCUAAACAAGAUUACAAUUGACAAAUGUUCCACUGCUAAGAACAGAAACUAAUGGGAGACCUGAGGGUUUUAAACAGGGAAGUGGUGUGGUCUCCAUUUGCCAGUUAAUGGAAGGCGCUGGAAGGAUCCCUCCAGUUGCUACGUGGAGGAUGUGUUGGAGGGGAGAGGCUGAGACCAGGAGGUCUGGAAGGAAGCCACAGAGGAGGCAAAGAGGCCAGAUGCAAUGGGUACAGGGAGUGAGGAGAGUUUGAAUUGGGGAUUUAGGAGGCAGAGUGAUCAGGACAGGUCGUCAAGAAGCUGAAAUUGGAGGCGAGCCCAACUGGGUAGAUAGGAACUUGAACCUGAGAUGGAGCCCAGGACAACUGCUCUCUGAGAGGCCUGUGGUCUGAAGGGGGUGGGAUGGGGGACCGCAGGGGGAAGGAGGCUCUGCAUCUGGUGUUCCAGAAAGGCCAUGGGCAUGUGUGAGCCCCAGAAUUCUCUCCCCUCAUCCCAGCCCAGUCUGUGCUAAUUACAGAGCAGCCACCGGCUGCCUGCCCCCGGGGGAGAGGUGUCACAAGGGGAAAGAUCUAGGGGAGGGGACAGGCUACAGCAGGAAGUUCUGCAGUCAGACUUCAGGUAUGACUUCCUGAGGAUCUCUAGACCUGGGAUGGGUGGGAACUGGGCUCCAGGGAGACCCCACUGAUUGGGAUGGAGGUGGGGAUGUUGUGGGGGCAGAUUAGAGAAAGGUCAAGAUGCCAUAUCUAUCAUUUUUCUUCUUCAAGUUGAAAUAUAUUUGACAUAUAACAUUGUGUAAUUUCAUUAUUUAUAUAUUAUGAUUGCCAUUGUUGCAAUAAUUAGACCUCCAUCACAUUACAUAAUUGUCCUUUUUUUUAGUGGUUGGAAUAAUUAAGUUCUAGUCUCUCAGAAAGUUUGUUGAUUAUAAUACAGUAUUGUUGCCUAUAUUCACUAUACUGGGCAUUAGAUCCCUCGGGCUUAUCUACUACUCAUUGUAAAUUCAUACCUUCAAACAUCUGUCCUGCCUCCCCUUCCCCACAUAUAUCUAUCUUUUUCAUCCAAAUCCCUGGUGGUCAAGUGGAACAGGGGACUGGAUCUCAGGGCCUCCUUAUUCCUGAGGUCAGGGCCCAAUCUGGGCCUUGUCAGUCUUUGGAAGACCCCAGCCCUAUCCUGUGGAGGUUUCCAGUCUGGAACAGUAGGGGAGAGCUGGGUCCUGCUUUUGAAGAGGUCCCAGUCAGGGGGACAGAGAUUUCAGGCUUGAGCUAAGGUGGACCAGAGUGUGCACACUCUCAACCCUCCCCUAUCCUUGACUCUGCUCCUUUAUGUCUUGCUGAUAACAGCUUUAUUCAGCUGCCCUGGGUGGAGGGAGAGGAGCAGGGCUGGCAGGUGGCCCAGGACAGAGGAAGGGGGCAGGCUUUGCACUCCUCUCUGCCCCACUGCACAGAUCUAGAGUUCAGCUCUCCAUUCCUUUAUUCCUCUUCACCCCAGCCCUUGGCUUCAGGAGAGCCCAGGCUUGGCAGCGGGGUCUAGAGACAGGAUUCUCUGGAUCUCCACCCCUAGCUCCCUGUGUGACCCUGGACAAGUUCCUACACCUCUCUGGGCCUCACGCAAACCAGAAAAAUUAUCCUCUCCAUCCUGCUUUCAGAAGUUGAACUGUGAAAGGGAAAUGAGUCUCUCUCUGGGUUUGGAACACCCUGGUCCCCAUUAGUGCCCUGGGCAGUCUAAGAGUCCUGUUGCUCCCCACACACACCCUCCCCCCUCUCUCUGCAGCAGAGGGAUGGGCAGGCAAGCUGACCUAUGCUUGAGUAGGGUAGGGGUGACUCACGUGCCCCAGGCUUCCCCUCCCCUUAAUCGCUCACCUGGAUUAAUCUAUGACUCACAAAGCAAGUACCGGAUGUUGGAGGGGUUGUAUGUAUGUUUGUUUAUUGGGGUGGGGGCACUUGGACGAGUCCAAAUCCGAGCAGCCCUCAGGACUUCUUUGAACGUAACCUGCUGCAAGGACCCCUAGGCUUUGGGGUCUUGCUCUUUUUCUCCAAAGUAAUGUUCUGGGCAGAGGAAAAUAGGGUCUUCAGCUGAAUGGAUUCCAGUUUAGAGGAGAUGGUGAUACCACAGUCAGAAGAGAGGACACUUUGAGAAUUCACUAAAUGUAACCACACAGCGAGGCUUAGAAGGUCUGACAGAACUGGGGAAACCAAAGCCCCGAGAAGAAGGCUUUGUUUAAAGCCACAGAAACAAUCCAGAGUUUUUGCCUCUGUUUUUUUUAAUGUUUAUUUAUUUUUGAGAAAGAGAAACAGAGAGUGCAAGCCAGGGAGGGGCAGAGAGAGAGGGAGACACAGAAUCCGAAGCAGGCUCCAGGCUCCGAGCUGUCAGCACAGAGCCUGAUGCAGGACUCGAAGUCACAAACCAUGAGAUCAUGACCCGAGCCGAAGCCAGAUGCUUAACUGCUUAGACUGAGCUACUCAGGCACCCCCCACCCCCCCAGAGUUUUUGCCUCUUUAUCUGAGAGCUUUCUCUCCUGACCUACUCUUCAAAAAGAGAGUUCCCCUUUUACAGUAACUCUGAGCUGGAGACAAAACCUGCACACAGACUAGUGCAUACAGACAUGUCCACGCCUCCCAACACACAGAGCAGACAAAUCACUCCAUACAUCAGACUCCUACCCCAUCAUGUCCACCUGCAGAAUUAAAUGCAGAACCCCACAGAGGCAGACACACCCACGGGGAUGUAUAACCUACAUCCUGCCCAGCCUUGCUCACACAGGAGUUCCCAGUUUUCUCUCCCUCCCUUCCAAUGAAGUUCCAGCUCCUCAUGCCACCAUGGUCAUCUUAGACCACACCAGCCUCUUCACCCACUUCCUAGAGAUUGGAGGAAACAGGUUGGAGCUACAGUGUGAUGGACUGAGG